rnacentral:rRNA from 1 species
UUUUAAAUCUAAACUAAACCCUACCAUAUUACCAAAUAAUUUUAUACCCCUAUAAAAGAUAUAAUGUUAGAACUAGUAAUAAGAAUUUGAAAUUCUCCAAAAUAUUAGUGUAACACGGAACGAACUAUCGCCGCUAAUUAUUGCAUAUGAGUAUAUUGUAGUACCUUAUCAAGAAAACACUACCAAACUUAGCAUUAAACUUACACAAGCGUAUUACUGGAAAGAUUUAAAGAAAGGGAAGGAACUCGGCAAAUCUUAAGCCUCGCCUGUUUACCAAAAACAUCGCCUCUUGAUAAACCAUAAGAGGUCCCGCCUGCCCUGUGACUUAGUUUAACGGCCGCGGUACCUUAACCGUGCAAAGGUAGCACAAUCAAUCGUCCCUUAAAUAGGGACUAGUAUGAAUGGCUUCACGAGGGCUUAACUGUCUCCCCUCUCCAAUCAAUGAAACUGAUCUUCUCGUGAAGAAGCGAGAAUAUAAAUAUAAGACGAGAAGACCCUAUGGAGCUUUAAACCCAUUACCACCUGCCCGUAUAAUAUCAAAAUAAUUGGCAGCCUGUUCUUAAAUGGUUUUUGGCUGGGGUGGCCCUGGAGUAAAACAUACCCUCCAGACUGAAUGAUUUAAAACCCUAAUCUAAGAAUUACUAUUCAAAGAAUCAACACUUUGACAUAAUUGACCCAAUAAAUUGAUCAACGAACCAAGUUACCCUAGGGAUAACAGCGCAAUCCAUUUCAAGAGCCCCUAUCGACAAAUGGGUUUACGACCUCGAUGUUGGAUCGGGGUAUCCUAGCGGCGCAGCCGCUGCUAAAGGUUC